GAUAAAGUAGGAGAGAGUGAGUGUUUUUAGUUAGUUAGUGAAUUUAGUUUUUUUUUGUGCUUACUGGGUGCAAUUUUCCUUUAAGUUAAUAAUUUUUAUGUUUUCAUAAUAUUUUCUUCUUUUUCAUAAUAUCUGAAAGUAAAUAUUUUAUAAUAAAUACAUCAUCUUGUGAUAUCAAUUUUCAGAAAUGCUAGAUAAAUAUUAGUUUGAUCAACAUAAUUAAAGUUUUUGACAAUAAUUAAAAUUUAUACUUAUUUUUUUUUUAAAGAUAUAUCUUUGAAUAAGGAAAUAAUAAUCAAAAUGUUUGGUAUCCAACUGAAUCAAAUGGAACUUUUUGAUAAAUAUUAGUUAAAAUUUGGCAUCCAACUGAACCAAAUGGAUUGUUUUUUUUUUGGUAAAUAUUAAUUAACAAUUUUGGCAACCAACUGAAUUAAAUGGCUGGCUCAUUUUGGCAAAUAUUAAUUAAAACUUUUGGCAUCCAAUUGAAUUAAAUGGAUGGCUCAUUUUGGCAAAUAUUAAUUAAAACUUUUGGAAUCCAACUGAAUUAAAUGGAUGGUUCAUAUUAAUCGAACGUUUGCCUUCCAACUGGACUUUUUUUUUUUGAACGGCUCCUUCCAACUGAACUAAUGGAUGGAAUUCAUGAAGAAACCAUUAAUUUGGGCGAGUAAUCAAUGAGAACCGACGACUGGCGGAACUCUACGAAACCUUGUCGGACAUCGUCUUUUUUUUCUUCUAUCUUUCUGUUUCUGUCGUUUCUCUUUCAUUCCACGUUUUGAUAUUGGGCCUGCUGAUUAAUUAGCCCAAUCUGCUCUAUUCCUUAGGUUUAUUGGACGUAAUUUAUAAGAACCCUAAUUUAAGUUUUAAUCAAAUCAGUUGCACAAAAAAAAAAUAUAAAUUUAAAAAUAUAUGCGAAUUUGAUAAACUUGAAUCCUUCACAAGGC
rnacentral:lncRNA from 1 species